rnacentral:rRNA from 1 species
CCUACGGGUGGCAGCAGUGAGGAAUAUUGGUCAAUGGACGAGAGUCUGAACCAGCCAAGUAGCGUGAAGGAUGACUGUCCUAUGGGUUGUAAACUUCUUUUAUAUGGGAAUAAAAUGUUCCACGUGUGGGACUGUGUAUGUACCAUAUGAAUAAGGAUCGGCUAACUCCGUGCCAGCAGCCGCGGUAAUACGGAGGGUCCGAGCGUUAUCUGGAUUUAUUGGGUUUAAAGGGAGCGUAGGUGGAUUGAUAAGUCAGUUGUGAAAGUUUGGGGCUCAACCGUAAAAUUGCAGUUGAAACUGGCAGUCUUGAGUACGUGAGAGGUGGGCGGAAUUCGUGGUGUAGCGGUGAAAUGCUGAGAUAUCACGAAGAACUCCGAUUGCGAAGGCAACUCACUGGACUGCAACUGACACUGAUGCUCGAAAGUGUGGGUAUCAAACAGGAUUAGAUACCCGAGUAGUC